ensembl:snRNA U6 U6 spliceosomal RNA
GUGCUCGCUUCAGCAGCAUAUAUACUAAAAUUGGAAUGAUACAGAGAAGAUUAGUAUGGCCCCUGCACAAGGAUGACACGCAAAUUUAUGAAGUGUUCCAUAUUUUU